rnacentral:rRNA from 1 species
ACGGGGCCCGCACAAGCGGUUGGAGUUAUGUGGUUUAAUUCGACGCAACGCGCAGAACCUUUACCUGGUCUUGACAUCCCGGGAAUUUCCUUGAAAGAGGGAAGUGCCUCGCAAGAGGAGCCUGGAGACAGGUGCUGCAUGGCUGUCGUCAGCUCGUGUCGUGAGCUGUUGGGUUAAGUCCCGCAACGAGCGCAACCCCUAUUGUUAGUUGCCAUCAUUCAGUUGGGCACUCUAGCGAGACUGCCGGUAAUAAACCGGAGGAAGGUGGGGAUGACGUCAAAUCAUCAUGCCCCUUAUGACCUGGGCUACACACGUGCUACAAUGGUUGGUACAACGAGUUGCGAGUCGGUGACGGCGAGCUAAUCUCUUAAAGCCAAUCUCAGUUCGGAUUGUAGGCUGCAACUCGCCUACAUGAAGUCGGAAUCGCUAGUAAUCGCGGAUCAGCACGCCGCGGUGAAUACGUUCCCGGGCCUU